GAUGAACGCUGGCGGCGUGCUUAACACAUGCAAGUCGAACGGAAAGGCUCCUGCUUGCAGGGGUACUCGAGUGGCGAACGGGUGAGUAACACGUGGGUGAUCUGCCCUGCACUUCGGGAUAAGCCUGGGAAACUGGGUCUAAUACCGGAUAGGACGAUGGUUUGGAUGCCAUUGUGGAAAGUUUUUCGGUGUGGGAUGAGCUCGCGGCCUAUCAGCUUGUUGGUGGGGUAAUGGCCUACCAAGGCGUCGACGGGUAGCCGGCCUGAGAGGGUGUACGGCCACAUUGGGACUGAGAUACGGCCCAGACUCCUACGGGAGGCAGCAGUGGGGAAUAUUGCACAAUGGGCGCAAGCCUUAUGCAGCUACGCCGCGUGGGGGAUGACGGCCUUCGGGUUGUAAACUCCUUUCGCUAGGGACGAAGCGCAAGUGACGGUACCUGGAGAAGAAGCACCGGCUAACUACGUG
rnacentral:rRNA from 1 species